UACGUAGGUGGCAAGCGUUGUCCGGAAUUAUUGGGCGUAAAGCGCGCGCAGGCGGUCCUUUAAGUCUGAUGUGAAAGCCCACGGCUCAACCGUGGAGGGUCAUUGGAAACUGGGGGGACUUGAGUGCAGGAGAGAAGAGUGGAAUUCCACGUGUAGCGGUGAAAUGCGUAGAGAUGUGGAGGAACACCAGUGGCGAAGGCGACUCUUUGGCCUGUA
rnacentral:rRNA from 1 species